rfam:Streptomyces violaceusniger Tu 4113, complete genome.
CGUGCGCCGUCGCCGAAUCCCGUACGCACACCGGCAGUACCGCACCACCAGCAGCACCAAGGGAACCGGGGAACCAACACCUUGGGGUGAAUCGGGUCGAACCUGACCCGUAGGAGACCUUCCUGCUCCGAACCCGUCAGCUAACCCGGUAGGCGAGAAGGAAGGAAAGG